AACGAACGCUGGCGGCAUGCCUAACACAUGCAAGUCGAACGAGACCUUCGGGUCUAGUGGCGCACGGGUGCGUAACGCGUGGGAACCUGCCCUUAGGUUCGGAAUAACUCCCCGAAAGGGGUGCUAAUGCCGGAUAAUGUCUUCGGACCAAAGAUUUAUCGCCUUUGGAUGGGCCCGCGUUGGAUUAGCUAGUUGGUAGGGUAAAAGCCUACCAAGGCGACGAUCCAUAGCUGGUCUGAGAGGAUGAUCAGCCACACUGGGACUGAGACACGGCCCAGACUCCUACGGGAGGCAGCAGUGGGGAAUAUUGGACAAUAGGCGAAAGCCUGAUCCAGCAAUGCCGCGUGAGUGAUGAAGGCCUUAGGGUUGUAAAGCUCUUUUACCCGGGAUGAUAAUGACAGUACCGGGAGAAUAAGCUCCGGCUAACUCCGUG
rnacentral:rRNA from 1 species